CACGUAGGGCGCAAGCGUUGUCCGGAAUUAUUGGGCGUAAAGAGCUUGUAGGCGGUUUGUCGCGUCUGCUGUGAAAAUCCGGGGCUCAACCCCGGACUUGCAGUGGGUACGGGCAGACUAGAGUGUGGUAGGGGAGACUGGAAUUCCUGGUGUAGCGGUGGAAUGCGCAGAUAUCAGGAGGAACACCGAUGGCGAAGGCAGGUCUCUGGGCCACUACUGACGCUGAGAAGCGAAAGCAUGGGGAGCGAACAGG
rnacentral:rRNA from 1 species